rnacentral:rRNA from 1 species
AACCGCUUUCGGGCGGGGAUUAGUGGCGAACGGGUGAGUAACACGUGGGCAAUCUGCCCUGCACUCUGGGACAAGCCCUGGAAACGGGGUCUAAUACCGGAUAUGACUGUCCAUCGCAUGGUGGAUGGUGUAAAGCUCCGGCGGUGCAGGAUGAGCCCGCGGCCUAUCAGCUUGUUGGUGAGGUAGUGGCUCACCAAGGCGACGACGGGUAGCCGGCCUGAGAGGGCGACCGGCCACACUGGGACUGAGACACGGCCCAGACUCCUACGGGAGGCAGCAGUGGGGAAUAUUGCACAAUGGGCGAAAGCCUGAUGCAGCGACGCCGCGUGAGGGAUGACGGCCUUCGGGUUGUAAACCUCUUUCAGCAGGGAAGAAGCGAAAGUGACGGUACCUGCAGAAGAAGCGCCGGCUAACUACGUGCCAGCAGCCGCGGUAAUACGUAGGGCGCAAGCGUUGUCCGGAAUUAUUGGGCGUAAAGAGCUCGUAGGCGGCUUGUCACGUCGGUUGUGAAAGCCCGGGGCUUAACCCCGGGUCUGCAGUCGAUACGGGCAGGCUAGAGUUCGGUAGGGGAGAUCGGAAUUCCUGGUGUAGCGGUGAAAUGCGCAGAUAUCAGGAGGAACACCGGUGGCGAAGGCGGAUCUCUGGGCCGAUACUGACGCUGAGGAGCGAAAGCGUGGGGAGCGAACAGGAUUAGAUACCCUGGUAGUCCACGCCGUAAACGGUGGGCACUAGGUGUGGGCAACAUUCCACGUUGUCCGUGCCGCAGCUAACGCAUUAAGUGCCCCGCCUGG